rnacentral:misc_RNA from 1 species
AACGCACCUUGCGCUCCUUGGUAUUCCGAGGAGCAUGCCUGUUUGAGUGUCAUUAAUAUAUCAACCUCUUCAAAUUUGUUUGUCGAGUGUUGGAUGUGGGGGGUAUUUUUUUUGCUGGUCUCUCUUUGAGGUCAGCUCCCCUAAAAUAUAUUAGCGGGACAAUUUGUUGACCGUUCAUUGGUGUGAUAACUAUCUACGCUAUUGACGUGAGGCAGGUUCAGCUUUUAACAGUCCAUUGACUUGGACAAAUCUUUCAUUAAUGUGACCUCAAAUCAGGUAGGACUACCCGCUGAACUUAA